CGGUGUUUAACUGGCGUGAUGUGGGACGUCCUACCGGUGGGCUUAGCCUCGCGAGGGGCGGCCCAACUAAUAUCCCGUCGCGGUGCUCUUUACUGAGUGUCGAGUCGGGCCGGUACGUUUACUUUGAACAAAUUAGAGUGCUUAAAGCAGGCUAUCCUCGCCUGAAUACUGCGUGCAUGGAAUAAUGGAAUAGGACCUCGGUUCUAUUUUGUUGGUUUUCGGAACCCCGAGGUAAUGAUUAAUAGGGACAGAUGGGGGCAUUCGUAUUGCGACGUUAGAGGUGAAAUUCUUGGAUCGUCGCAAGACGGACAGAAGCGAAAGCAUUUGCCAAAAAUGUUUUCAUUAAUCAAGAACGAAAGUUAGAGGUUCGAAGGCGAUCAGAUACCGCCCUAGUUCUAACCAUAAACGAUGCCAGCUAGCGAUCCGCCGAAGUUCCUCCGAUGACUCGGCGGGCAGCUUCCGGGAAACCAAAGCUUUUGGGUUCCGGGGGAAGUAUGGUUGCAAAGCUGAAACUUAAAGGAAUUGACGGAAGGGCACCACCAGGAGUGGAGCCUGCGGCUUAAUUUGACUCAACACGGGAAACCUCACCAGGCCCAGACACCGGAAGGAUUGACAGAUUGAUAGCUCUUUCUUGAUUCGGUGGGUGGUGGUGCAUGGCCGUUCUUAGUUGGUGGAGCGAUUUGUCUGGUUAAUUCCGAUAACGAACGAGACUCUAGCCUGCUAAAUAGGCGUACCUUAUGGUAUCGCGAAGGCCCCCGGCUUCGGCCGGUGGGUUUUUACUACCAACGUACAAACAAAUUUUCUUAGAGGGACAGGCGG
rnacentral:rRNA from 1 species